UUUAACUAAACGACGUAAGCCCUACCUCUCUUACAUCCUUACGGCUCCGAAGCCGAUCCAGUCUGAAUAGUUAUUCUAUUAAAUCG
rnacentral:sRNA from 1 species